rnacentral:rRNA from 1 species
GAUGAACGCUAGCGGCAGGCUUAACACAUGCAAGUCGAGGGGUAGAGGAAGCUUGCUUCCUUGAGACCGGCGCACGGGUGCGUAACGCGUAUACAAUCUACCUUUUACAGAGGGAUAGCCCCAGAGAAAAUUUGGAUUAAUACCUCAUAGUAUUUUCGGAUCGCAUGAUUUGAUUAUUAAAGUUCCAACGGUAAAAGAUGAGUAUGCGUCCCAUUAGCUAGAUGGUAAGGUAACGGCUUACCAUGGCAAUGAUGGGUAGGGGUCCUGAGAGGGAGAUCCCCCANACUGGUACUGAGACACGGACCAGACUCC